CGGAGGUGGCAGCGGCGGCGGCAAGUGGCGUCCUACUUCACUGGCUGGGUCGUAGUUGUAAGCAAUAAAAUGGAAAUAAACAGAGAUCAAGCACAGUGCCACUGUGAUGUUUGAAACAAAGCAGAUACCCCAACUUUCCAUGAGACCCUUUUGGACAAAGCCUAAAAAACAAGCAACUACUUAAGAUCAUUUACGUUAGGUUGACUGCCCAGGUGGGGGCUGGGUGGCCUUUUGGCCUUAGGACCCCUGCAGAUUUUAUUUUUUUCCAGCUGAUCUGGAGUUUUUACAUUUUUUUCUGUCCUCACCGGCUAUCAUCUUAUUUUCAGACUCAUCUUCAGAGACUUAAAAAGCAAGCUCUCUCCUUUGCCUCCAGACUCCCGCUUCCCAAAUGGAGUGAGGCGGCCCCUUUUAUAUGGUACCCGGAUGUGCUCCAGGUGCUCGUUGAUGACCUUCCUGAAGAACUUCCUGGUGUGGCAGAACUGCUGCAGUCCAUGGCUCCAGAACCAGGCGUUGCGGUGGAGCAAG